rnacentral:rRNA from 1 species
UACGUAGGGUGCGAGCGUUGUCCGGAAUUACUGGGCGUAAAGAGCUCGUAGGUGGUUUGUCGCGUUGUUCGUGAAAACUCACAACUCAAUUGUGGGCGUGCGGGCGAUACGGGCAGACUGGAGUACUGCAGGGGAGACUGGAAUUCCUGGUGUAGCGGUGGAAUGCGCAGAUAUCAGGAAGAACACCCGUGGCGAAGGCGGCUCCUCUGGGACGGUACUGACGCUGAGACGCGAAAGCGUGGGGAGCAAACAGG